UCAAACAAAGAAAAACAAUAAAGCAAUGAAUAAAAGACAAACAAUUUUAGUAUGGGUGUUAAACAAGGAGCAGGUCUUGUCCUUUAUGUAAGCGCACGCCACGCAUUAAAAGGAGGCAGAGCCUCUUUUCUCUCGGCUAUUCCGGAAAAACGGUGGCUUUCUCUCAUUUUCUCCUUGGUUCUUCGUAUAAAAAAUUGCCGAUCUACGAAAAUCUAGCCAUUCGAUUUUAGAUCCGACUUCGGUAACGUGAUCCUCAAAGUUCGAUCUACGUUUUGACCGAACGUUUUGAGAUUUUGUGUGGUUUGGAGUUGGUAGGAGCUUCCCGAACAUUUGGUCUUUGCUUGACAAAUUUUUGAUUUUGUGUGGUUUGAAGUUGGUAGGAGCUUCCUGAACAUUUGGUCUUUGCUUGAUAAAUUUUUGUAACGCAUUGCAAGGUGGUGUCUAGGAGACCUAGUGCUUAAUAUCCGCGCAGCCAAGACAUUGAUACUUUGGUUGCAGGUUUUGCGGAUAUAGAUAUUGACUCGUCCACUAGCGUAUGGGAUGCUAUGAUUGGAGCAUAUCGCGACAGUCAUAAGUCACAGACUCAUGGGUAGUCUGCAUUUUGGGUGUUUUAUUUAUGGCUCGUGUCCUACGUGGCACAUGUAUUUGUUGUGCCUGUAUUUUGGUAUGUAAUUAGUGUAAUGUGUUUAUAAGCCUUAAAUAGAUAGACUUGUAAAUGGCUCUUGUUGUUGAUAACAGUUAUGUAUUAGAUGUAAUUCCGCUAUUGAUAUGUGUUCCGCUGCACAUUGAUAUUUA